GAUUUCGAAUGUGAAGAACCUAGAGAAGAGGUCGAGAAGGAUUUUUUAGUUCGGUAUCAUCUUCUCCCUUUCGAAUCCUCCUUUUCUUUCUUUCAUUAUCUUCAUCUAUCGCCAACAUCUACUAUGAGAUUUCCAGUCAUCUAUCUCGAAGACCUCAUCUUGGAUGAUUGCCACUUUGGUACCUAGUACAUUACAUCACCAACAGCAAAAACUCAGUCUUAUGCCAACUAAUGGGGUUGAUUGCAUGGAUCCUUGUUCUCCAAUCAGCUCUAUUCAAUGUUAUAUUUGAUAUAAGGCCUAAGCUAUGUAUCUCUUUCCUCACCACUUCUUUAAAGCCAUUUUAGGUCUACCAUUGGCUCUUUUAGCUCUUAUAAUAUGAAUCAAUUCACUCAUCCAUAUUGGAGCAUCCAAAGGCCUCCGUUGAACAUGGUCAUUCCAUCUCAAUAACUUUCUAGCUUAUCAUGUAUCGGAGCUAUUCCCAAAUCAGCUUUAUUAUGAUCAUUCCCUACUUCAUCCUUCCUAGUUUUACCAUUUAUUUAUUUCAACAUCCUCAUCUCCGCUACACUAAGUUUAUUAUCUAUAUGAUGCUUCUAAACUGCCACACAUUCCUCACCAUACAUAAUAGUCGAUCGUAUGAUUGUCUUACAAAAAUGGCCUUUAAGAUUUAAAGGAAUACGUCAAUCACACAUAACUGUGGACACAUAUUUUCACUUUAUCCAUCAUAUUUUAAUUCUUUGUGAGACAUUAUCAUCAUUUAUAUCACCUUCUUUAUUGAUGAUUGAGCCCAAAUACCUAAAGUGAUCAUUUUGCUAAAUAAUCACUUUGCAGAAUCUCUAUCUCAUCAAGUCUUACCACUUCAUUAUCUGUCAUAGUAUAACUAAAGUUACACACCAUAUACUUUGUCUUUGUUCUACUUAUCUUAAAACCUUUUUUUUUCCAAUGUUGAUUUAUAUAACUCCAACUUUUCGUUAGUCCCUACUUUUGUAUCAUCUAUUAAAACAAUAUCAUUAGCAAAAAGCAUACACCAAUGAAACUCAUCUCUCAAUCUUCCAUGAGUCUCCUAAGUAAAUAUAUUCUGCUAUGGAUCUUUCUGGCAUAAAACCAAAUUGUUUCUCUGUUAUAGUAGUUUCUUUUUUCAAGUGGGUUUUUGAAACCCUCUCCCAUAAUUUCAUAGUAUGACUCGUUAGUUUUAUGCUUCUAUAGUUAUUGCAGUUUUGAAUAUUAGCUUUAUUUUGUAAAUCGGAACCACAGUGUUUCUCCUCCAUUCAUCUAGCAUUUUCCUUAUGCUGAUAAUCUUAUUAACCAACUUGGUUAGCCAAGAUAAAUGAUAGAUUCAUUCCUAAGCUCAUCCACACUUCUAUUAGGACCUCAUUUGGGCCUUGGGCGUUGCCUACUUUCAUCCUCCUUAAAGUUUCUUUUCAAAGUAAGCGUUUACAGUGGAUAAAUCUUAAGCCACAACAAAGUCGAAAACUGGGAUAUUCUCCUCAUUCCUCUCUCCAAAACCAUAUUCUCCAUGUACACCUUCAUAGGCUCUACGAUCUCUCCCAAUAUGUCCAUCCAAAUCAUGUUCUCCUGUUAAUUUUCUGUUAUGAUUCCAUAAUUAAAUAUUUUUAUCAAUUUUAAGCUCUGUUAUUAGUUAUCGCAUAUAGCAGUACAUCCUUGGGCCUGUUUGCAUCUGGGAUUCAUAUGUUUUUGAAUAUCAGACUGCAUCACUUACAUAUUGGACAUGGAAUUUGAUGUAAGGUGGUUUACCCAAGGUAAACAACCCCAGUUGAUUGUAAACUCCAAACCCAACUCAGUCUGAUUACAGAACAAAGAGCCAAGAAAACACCAAAAAUUAUGGAAAAUAGGGCUCAAUCGCGAGCUGUCUUAUAUCUCACAAAGUAGAGAUCCAAAAGGCAGGGUAUACUUGGUUGAGUGAGGCACUAGAUCAGACCAGUAGGUUCCCAAAAUCUGGCCCACAGUUGACCAACACAGGUACAGGAACACAGCAGCGCGGGCCUGCUCACAGAAGUUAAGGUUUUCUGGGCAGAAAGAGAAACCCUGAUGCUAUCAGGUGGCUGCUCAGAAUGGCCUGGGAAGCUGGUCAUAAGGACAGAAACUCGCUGUUGAAGCAUCCUGCUUAACACAUGCCUUGCAAGGCAUUAACUCUCAGGUACAUAUUUGUACAUAAUUUUUAUCAAAAUCAUUCUUGAGUAUUAUUUCUGUUCAAGUGUUAAAUGUCUUUUAAUAUGAAACUCUAAGCAUAGUUGAGCCAUUGCCCUAUGUCGUGUGGGAUAAAUUCAAGUAUCUUGUGCAACUUAAGUGAUCUUGGUAGCAUUUGCAGUAUCAUUCAGGCUCUUGUUGCAUACUCAGUCUAUUGCUUUGUGACUGUGGGAUAAAUUCAAGUAUCUUGUGCAACUUAAGUGAUCUUGGUAGCAUUUGCAGAGUAUCAUUCAGGUUUUUGUUGCAUACUCAGUCUAUUGCUUUGUCUAGUCACAUGUACUGGACUAUAAUCUCAGUCAAGUUGGGUGUUUUUGGUGCUGAAAGCCUGGAAUCUAGGAAUACAAAUUCAUAAAAUGGGCAGAUAUGGUUAGAAGUCUCAACCUCAAUUCAAAUUUCAUGGCGAUAUAUAUGUACAAAGCAAAUAGAGACAAAAUGUGAAGAAAGCCUCUUGCAGUCUUUGGUAAUGGAAGCAUUCCUCCAGGAGGCUUCAGAGAUUUUUCCAACAAGGUCAAUGUCUAAUUGUGAGUCAACUUCAAGGAUAAAUAUGAGAGAACUGAAGUUGCACAGCCAAGAUGAGGGUAUGACAGAGCAGCAAGUGCCUCAGCGACAAAAGCAUAAGUGCAGCCGAUAUAAGAACUAAAACCAAAAAGGAAAUGACCUGAGGUAUUCCGACACAUUCUACCAAUAUCAGCAGGACCUGGACAUCCCAACAAGAACCAUCAAAAUUGAUUUUAAGGAUAUGUUCUGGAGUAGGAAACCAAGCUAUGUGGAUGAUUUUAAAUGAAAGGACAGUAAAUUUAGCAGCACAAAAGGAUUCAGAUGCCAGCUUCUUGCUUUUAAAUAUGGCAUCUCUUGGUAGGAUUCAAUCAUUAUUGUAGAAGGCUGCGUUAAAGGAUAUCCAAAUAUGCCAAAUAAUGGUAGCUGAAUAUGCGCAGAUCCAAGCACAAAUUCUGGAAUUCAGAUUCAGACAAAACAAACUUGAGAAUCAAUUUUGAAUUGAGACUUGAUGGGAUGAACAGUUGGAUAGAUCAGAAGAACUCCAAAUCUGAGUAGCAAAUGCUCAAGCAGAGAAAAUAAAGUUGAUAAGAACUAAUUGGGCAACGAGCUUGGAUAUAGAUUCCUCUUUCUCGAAGAAGAGAAGGAUGAGAGAUUGAGUCAUACAGCAGCUUCUGCAUAAAAGAAAGAAUUUUCAGGGCACAAAGUAAAUGCACAAUUAAGCCACAGGGGAUUGAUUUGCUGAUCUUCAUCUUGCAACAUGAGCUUAUAAGCAGAAGCAACUGUGAAUUUACCAUUGGCAGUAGGAUGCCAAAUAUAGGAGCCUUUAAGUCUCAAAGAUGUGAAUGUUGGGAUAGAUAAAAUGCUUUGAGAGCAGGCCACCAGUGAUAAAUAAGAUCAGACUUCCUUCUUUAGAGUUUUGAACAGACACAAAACAUGGAAUGGUGUCUUCAUUUUUGUUCCAACUUUUGCCAUUCUAUAGCAUGAAUAUUUUGAUGGCAUUGUUUUUAUUCGUUAUUUUGAUUCUCAUCAAAUUGUACCAAAAUAAUUGGAGUAUUUCAAUUUGUUGCCAAUUUCAACUACUGCACUAUUGCACCACUGCAUUUUGUAUUUA